CAGAUACACACAGAGCAUUAGAACCCCAGUAGGGCAUGGGACAGAUAAGUAAACUUAGAGAAGUUAUUAAUCACCUUAUGAGCAUUGCAUUAUUGAAGGGAUGAAACGUACACAUGGGGAUUUACUAAAAGUUCGAAGGAUUCUGUCAUAAUCUUAACUGCAUUGGGAAAAGGGGGGAACAUAUAGCUUAGCAGAGCUAAAUUGUUAACUCUCCCAAGGAAUGAACCAAACAAAAAAAGAGAAAAUCUAAAUUAUCAGAUAUUUUGGAGGGAAAGAGGCUAAAGCCUGAUCCCCUAUAAAAUGAUCAAACCUCAAUUUAGAAACAUGGGGCAUAAAUGAUCUUUCCUGUGUGUGGCAGGGUCCAGUUGUCUGUGGAUUGACAUAUUUAAAUUACUCAAAUGCUUACUCUAGUAAAAACUGCAGAACUAAAUGCCUCUAUUCUAGUUCUCUUCUAGUUCCAGUGUGCAGAGGUAGAGUUUGAAGCACUGAGGAGGGACAUGCAGUCUGACCGGGCACAUGGCAACCAAAAGGAAAGAGAAGAACAUUUCAUUGGUAUGGGGGAAACUGGGAAGAUUAAGGUAAGGCAGAGUUGAGUCAGCAUGAUUAAGCCUUCAUAGGUGAGCAACUACUGACCUAGUAAAAUCCAAAUUUACAAACUGUUGAAGUAGACCUUUUACCCUGCAAUUAGAACUGCUUGUUUUUCAGGAGGUCUCAAUGUUCCUCAUGGCCAUCCAGGUGUAUUGUAAACAUAAUACCAGUUACAUGUAUUAUUUACGGUUCCAAAAUUUAUUAUCAUUCAAGUUAAGGAAAAUGGGGUGUGAAGUAAUUGUCUGCCUCAGAGUCCACCACCAAAAUGUGUAACAAGAUUACAGUUAGGGAAUUUCUUAUGAUUACUGUCUAUAAACAAUCCAUGCAUGGCUGAGAAAAGUUUUUUAUUAGUCUAAUACAGCUGUUUUAGCUUUUCAAUGGCUAUUUUUCUAUAAGAACAAAGGCUGUCAUGCUGUAUAGCAUUCAACAGGUAUGAAAAUGCGAUGCCAGUCAUCUAAAGGCACUUUAUUAUCUAAGGAUAAACUGCAAAAUUAAAACAUUACAAAACGAUUAUUUAUCUGACCCCCUUUUAGCAAGAAACUUGGAGAGGAGGAACUCCCUUUUUAACAGGAAUAAAUGCCCAGUAGAACUGGGCACAGGGGGGAGUGGUCAUCAGCUGUGACCAGCUGGGGUGAGGAGAAGGAGACAGGACUAAAAACAUGCUGUGUAGGAGAGUCAGAGAUUGAUAAUAACUAAUAAUAACUCAAAAGAGAGACCUAAAAACUGGAGGCCUGGCUUCCCAUUUUACUUUUAAAUAUUCUAGUAAGCUUAAAGUUCGAGAGUCAAGUGGGGAGAUACAGUACUAUAGGAGCAGGAUGGUAAUUAAAAAAAACAGAUUUAACAAGGAGCCUAUGAAGAGAAGUCAAUAGGAGAAAUAUACUCUGUCAUUCUAGUCCCUUUCAGUAUUCAUGUGCAACAUUUUGAUGUAGUUGAAUGCUUUUUAAGGAGUUUUUACCACAACCUGAUAAUAAUAAUAGCUCAGCCUAGAAGUAAUGAAUGCAUGAACUUGUCUUCCAGCAUCACUCUGGGACAGGACUUUAGAGAUAUUGCAGAAAUUGAAGAAAGCAGUCCUUAAUAUUCGCAUAUUAGCACAUAUUGGGAUUUAAAAAAAUUACUCCAAGAAACCUCACAGUGUUAAUGGAGACCAAGGUAAUGCCAUUCAGAGCAUUCCUUUAGGUUGACUGAUAGGUGUGUGUUGUUUGGCUUCAUGGAUGAAUGAGAGAGAGGCUGUCAUCAGUAUGGCAGAGGUAUGUUGUGUCUUUUGUGGUGUUACCUAAAGGAGGCAUGUGUUAUAUAAACAGAAAUAGAUCCUGGGGUGGAACCUUGUGAAGCUCAAUGGUUAGUCUUGUGUAUGUGGGAGGAUUCUUAGAAUAACAUGUUCACAAGUGUCGAACAUAGAGAUCAAUCCACUGUCAGAGGCCUUAAGAAGAUCAUUUUUAACCUUCACCAAAGCUGUCUCUAUACUGUGAUGUGCUCUGAAACCUGACUGAAACUCUUUAAAUAAGGCAUUCCUCUGUGGCUAUUUUACAGCAUCUCUUGUGGGGAUUUUUGACAUAAAGGAAAGUUGGAGAUUGGCCUAUAAUUGGCUAGGACAGUUGGGUCAAGUGAUGGUUUUUGAGUGAUGGUUUAACUACUGCCAAUAUGAAGAACUGUGUGGUCAAUGUGGCAUUGUCUAACUUAGCUUUGAAAAUUUCAAUUCUGCGGCUAUAGAGGUGUGGGAAGUUUGAUCAGCCAUAUAGCCAGCAACGCUAAGUUUUGGGCUAACAGUGCUAAUGAUGAAUUGUGAAUUGGCAGCCGGUAACAGAGUUAAUGUUUAUUCAAAUUCAGCAUAUAAAUUUGACAUGUGCUCAAUAGUGUUUAAGAACAAAGAAGAUCUUAGAGAAGCCAACAGAGCAGUUAUAGUUACUCAGCUACUAGUCGCCCUAAAGCUCCCUGGUAUCACUAGAAAACAGACAUAUUAAUACCUAAAUGAAACAACCUUGUAGAGCUUUACUAUGCACUUCCUAAAUUGAUAGCUAUGCAAAGAUAAAUAAAGCUUUCUCUUUAUAACAGCAUUUGGGACAAAUAUUUCAAAGUGCUUCACAAAAUAAAGCAAUGAAUUGGAAUUUGUUAAGGAAGAGGUUAACUAGGUACAAAUAUUAACUUUAGUACUAAGGUGCAUGUAGUCGUGAACUAACAAGACUAAAACAACUAACAUUGCAUGGCAUACUCACAAAGGUCCAUAGAUAAGUCCUCAUAAAGGGCCUGUAGAGGUAACUGUGAACAAAACUAAUGCACUCUGCAAAGUUAUCUUUCUGCAGGUGGAGAUGGUAUCUGGAUAACAGACGGAGAUGCAGAGGUCCUGGAGCAGGUGCUGGCGAUCUGAUGAUGAGU
ensembl:lncRNA